CCUACGGGAGGCUGCAGUGGGGAAUAUUGGACAAUGGGGGGAACCCUGAUCCAGCCAUGCCGCGUGUGUGAAGAAAGCCCUCGGGUUGUAAAGCACUUUCAGUGAGGAAGAACGCCUGGUGGUUAAUACCCAUCAGGAAAGACAUCACUCACAGAAGAAGCACCGGCUAACUCCGUGCCAGCAGCCGCGGUAAUACGGAGGGUGCGAGCGUUAAUCGGAAUUACUGGGCGUAAAGCGCGCGUAGGUGGCUUGAUAAGCCGGUUGUGAAAGCCCCGGGCUCAACCUGGGAACGGCAUCCGGAACUGUCAAGCUAGAGUGCAGGAGAGGAAGGUAGAAUUCCCGGUGUAGCGGUGAAAUGCGUAGAGAUCGGGAGGAAUACCAGUGGCGAAGGCGGCCUUCUGGACUGACACUGACACUGAGGUGCGAAAGCGUGGGUAGCAAACAGGAUUAGAUAUCCUAGUAGUC
rnacentral:rRNA from 1 species